rnacentral:rRNA from 1 species
AGUGAACGCUGGCGGUAGGCCUAACACAUGCCAGUCGAACGGCAGCACAGUAAGAGCUUGCUCUUACGGGUGGCGAGUGGCGGACGGGUGAGGAAUACAUCGGAAUCUACUUUUUCGUGGGGGAUAACGUAGGGAAACUUACGCUAAUACCGCAUACGACCUACGGGUGAAAGCAGGGGAUCUUCGUACCUUGCGCGACUGAAUGAGCCGAUGUCGGAUUAGCUAGUUGGCGGGGUAAAGGCCCACCAAGGCGACGAUCCGUAGCUGGUCUGAGAGGAUGAUCAGCCACACUGGAACUGAGAGACGGUCCAGACUCCUACGGGAGGCAGCAGUGGGGAAUAUUGGACGAUGGGCGCAAGCCUGAUCCAGCCAUACCGCGUGGGUGAAGAAGGCCUUCGGGUUGUAAAGCCCUUUUGUUGGGAAAGAAAAGCAGCAGGUUAAUACCCCGCUGUUCUGACGGUACCCAAAGAAUAAGCACCGGCUAACUUCGUG